rnacentral:misc_RNA from 1 species
AACAUCAAGGAGAGAAUUUGUUAUGUGAGUGCAUAUUCACAUUAUAUAUAUUUUUUAAUUCUUCAUAUACUAUGGCUUUUUUGAGAAUAAAUAUUUUCCUGCAAUUGAUGUUUAGUUCAUUUUAUUUUGUUAAACUCAUGAUGCAUUCAUAAUGUGCCCAUUAUGCCUAUACUCCAUAUUCCUUUUUAAAGUUUUUCUAGUGUUGUAUUUAUCAGUGUCACUUACUGCAUGUCAAAAUAACAACUAAUUUGGUGAUUAUAUAUAUUCCAUGUCUCUUAAGCCUUUUUCCAUAAAUGAUAGUGUCAAAUCUUGCUAUGAAUAUUGCAGAUUUUGAUGUUAGCGCAUAGGAGACUGAGAUCUUAGUUUCCUGUUUUUGAUUAAUUAAUACAAAAUUAGGGGAACAAAGUUAUCAAUAGUACUCCUUUUAAAGAUUUUCCAUGUAUUGGUUCCCAUUUUAAUUUUCAUACUUGCCUUGCUCAAGGCACAUACUGAUUAGCCUUUUCUCUUCCUACCAAAUAGGAACCUUGAUCUCUUGCCUUUUAGAGGGAGUAAAAAUUUCUUUCGUAAUAAUCUUUCUUUAUUAACUAUGAGGUUCUUCAUUAUGUGUUGUUGCUUGUUAUCCAUUCUGCUUGAAAUUGUUUGAGAGGCCUUAUAGGUAUGGGUUAGUGUGCUUAUAAGACAUGGUUCUUAGUUAGAUGCUCUGUUCAAGCCUCUGGAAUUGUUAUCAAUGUAGUUUAACGGCAAAAUUCUUUUAUUAUCUGCACCUUUACUGCUUCACUUCUUUUGUUUCAGUGUUAGUGAUCCCAAAAUCCUAUUGCACAGCAUGAGUUCUUUUAUUACAUGCAUCCUUUUCUACAUCAAUCUUUUUGUUGGGAAUCCUUGUCCCACAUAUCAGGAAAAUAUAAAAUAAAAGGGCAAAAUAUAAAUGGUUAGGUUGCAAUACUGAAGUGGCUAGUCAUCUUGAUAUGUAAAGCAACUCAAUCACUUAUA